AUUGAACGCUGGCGGCAGGCCUAACACAUGCAAGUCGAACGAGUGGCGGACGGGUGAGUCAUGUCUGGGACACUGCCUGAUGGAGGGGGAUAACUACUGGAAACGGUAGCUAAUACCGCAUACCAUCAGAUGUGCCCAGAUGGGCUUAGCUAGUUGGUGGGGUAACGGCUCACCAAGCCGACGUUCCCUAGCUGGUCUUAUAGGAUGACCAGCCAACCUGGAACUGAGACACGGUCCAGACUCCUACGUGAGGAAGCAGUGGGGAAUAUUGCACAAGGGGCGCAAGCCUGAUGCAGCCAUGCCGCGUGUAUGAAGAAGGCCUUCGGGUUGUAAAGUACUUUCAGCGGGGAGGCGUUACCCGCAGAAGAAGCACCGGCUAACUCCGUGCCAGCAGCCGCGGUAAUUC
rnacentral:rRNA from 1 species